AUAGCGUAUAUUAAAGUUGUUGCCGUUAAAAAGCUCGUAGUCGAACUUCGGUCCCUGUUGGUCGGUCCGCCUUCUUGGUGUGUACUUACUCAACGGGGACUUACCUCCUGGUGAGCUGCGAUGUCCUUUACUGGGUGUCGUAGGGAACCAGGACGUUUACUUUGAAAAAAUUAGAGUGUUCAAAGCAGGCCUACGCCCGAAUACAUUAGCAUGGAAUAAUAGAAUAGGACGCGCGUUCCCAUUUUGUUGGUUUCUGAGAUCGCCGUAAUGAUUAAUAGGGAUAGUUGGGGGCAUUCGUAUUCCGUCGUCAGAGGUGAAAUUCUUGGAUUGCCGGAAGACGAACUACUG
rnacentral:rRNA from 1 species